UCCCUCUCGGGAUCACACCUGGAGAGUUUCCGGUAUUCUACCAGUCUCGGCUAUGGGAGGGAGAGUCAAGCAGAGGCCUACCCAUUCCAUUCCUAGCUUGGCCAGUGGCUUGUGAGCAGAAGGCCAUCUGCUACAAGU
rnacentral:snoRNA from 1 species